AGAAAGAUGGCUGCUGCUGCCAGGAGUUCAGAAAGCGGCUUGAGAAACUGGAGCUGCUUGUUGAAAAAAUGAUGUCGCAAUAGAGGUCAAAGGCGGAAUUUCUAGCAAGAAAUGUUGAGGUCUCCUAUUGCACCCACUAAUUUUUGUAGCGUGGAUUAAAUAGCAUAUGUUCCUGUAUGCUACAGCAUAUCUACUUUCCUGACUUUAUAUGAACCCGCCCAUGCAAUCACUAGGCGUUGUCAACUGUAGAGGUUUUUGUAUACAUUUCACUUGAUUUUUCAAUGAUGUUUGCACUAUUGUUAUAUUGGAAUUCUCUGAUGUUUGUUUGCUACAUGCAGUAACGGUUUAACAGGUUGAUCUGACUGAAAAUCAUUGUGAUAAGUGGAGAAAAAAAUAUAGUCUCCUUGCUUUUUCUGUUUCUUGAGGACUUUCGCUGCCUUAUCCCCCUGCCAUAGUUCAAAUAACAUUUGCCAGUUAAAAUUAAACUGGUUUCCCAUUGCCAAAUCGGCUGCAAUUUGCUUAGUAUUUAAGAAAUAUUAGGAGACUCGGUUGUCAUUAAAAAAAAAAAUACAGAAGGCAUCCUUCCAAUGGAAUUUCUUACCGUUAACUGUCCAUUGGCCUGCACCCCCAAAUUCUGCUGUAUUAAAGGAACACUUUCUGAAGACUAUUUAGCAUUUGAUACUUCCAGAACUGUCAGAUACUGACAUCCCUCACUAGGCUCUAUGGUAUCAUCUGUUGGCCCCUACACCAUUUGAGCCAAAGUUGCAGCCCAGGGGUUUUGUGUGGCCCUUUGGCACUUACUGUGUAGCCUUUGGGCCCUCUGCUAGCAAUAGUCUGUUUUCCUCACUUAAGCAAAGUGAUGGACUGUUGUUUCAGUUGUUAAAUAUUUAUUAUUUCACAAGCCUUUAUUUCUAUGCUGUCCAUACCUUCUCUUUCAUGUUUUUAUUUUUCCCAGAUCUUUUAUUUGUAUUAUGGUGGGAGGCGUAUCAAAUGUGGCUCAAGUAUUCUUUUAAGAGGCUCCCCCCAAAAAAUUAAGUCGGCAGCUACGCAUACUGUAGCUGCUAACUUUUAGUAAAAGGAAACUUACCUGUCCAGGGAUCCAGAAGACCACGGGAGGAGGAGGGGCUAAACUUCUGUCUCAGUUCAUCGCGGCGAUUUGAGCUGGAAGUGUCAGCGGGUACCUGUCAACCAGGUACCCACUCCCCCCCAGAUCUUUUCCAGAACGGCUGCAUUUUAUUCCUUUAUCAUGAAGUUACAUUGGUAAAAAUGCAAUUCAGUUGUUUUAUAAUGUUUGUGCUUUUAGUUUUUGUUUUGUUUGUUUUCAUUAGAAGUGGACACUGCUGAUAUUAGUUUAAGCUAUAUGCUUGUUUUUCCAGCCGUGUAUUCUCUCUGGGACUCUGGUGACACCACCUUUUGCAGCUCCCAGCUUCUCCCUAAUCUGAGGUCCAAGCCCCUUCCACCAAGCCCAGGCUAUUAUGCUUCAGUUGACAUAAGUUUAUGGCAUCAUGACUGGAAAGCAGAAAAGCAAUCCUGCUUCUGUCACCUAGAUCAAAGUUGAACUCUUUUUGAUUAACUGGAAUUCUCUCAGUUUAAAGCUCCAAAGGAGCUAGAUUUGUAGUCUGAUUUUUCUUUAAGGACGUUAUGUAAAACGGGUCACCUCCGAGCCUCCAGCUUGUGAUUGGACAGCAGCAGCAGGCUGUUGAUUAUAAGCCAGCUCCUAUACAAUCCCCUCCCCUGCUCAGCAUGCCUUGGUUUAGUGAGGAACAUUUCUAAAGGACCUACUAAAGUUGCAGGACCUUUGUCCCUCAAUGUUCUCAAAGGAAAAAAUGUUCAGAGUACAAAAAUUCCAUUAUCUCCAUUGUCCAUUGAGGCACAGGAAUUUAGGAAACAUUUGGGACAUACAAAUGCAGUAGAAGGAAUGGGUAAUGGCCACUGACAAGUCCAAGUGUGUAUAAGUAGGAUCCCUUUUUACCCUAGCAAAAAACUAUGGCACUUGUUUCAGCAGAGCUGAAUAAAAGGUGUUCGACCUCCUAGGAAACUAGAAAAAACGGUGGCAUGGUGUGUAGAGGAAGAGUUAUACGGGGACUAGUUUACAAAUUCUUGGUUUUCCAGUGUCCCUCAAUGGACGGUAGAAAAAAUGCAUAACUGCAUUAAUUGUUUUUUUAUUUUAUGUUCAGUUGCAUUGGAUUUUUCAUUUAUUUGGCGUUACAUAGGGUAAAAUAGAAGGAUUGAGUCCAUGAUGGUUUAGGUGUGGAAACUCCAUUGAAGAGAUGUUGCAUCUAAAGUCCUCAAGAGAUGCAAAAAAGCAGGAAGAUGACAUAGUCACUCUCCACCCAUAUAAGAAAUUAAGGUGUUGGACUAAUAAGCCUUUAAACUCUUGCUGCUAUCUGUCAUUAUACUCUGGAUUAGAGGCUAGGAAAGAACAAAUGAGAAGCUGCUUAUCCAGAAACAUUUUAUGUUGGAAUGUUAACUGUGUGCCUUGUAGUUAGUUCUCUAUUAUCCUGUAGAUAAAAGUUUAUUCAGAGGUUUGGGUGCCCUGGUCAAGUUACUUGUUCUGUUGACCAUAAAAACAAAGUUGCAGAAAACAUAAAAUUUUACCGAAAAUCAAAUUUGAACACCCUGGAGGUACGCAGGAAAUCCGAGCAUUUGCUGGGAUUUCAGUACAGAACUAUCAGCUGUGUUUUUUUUCUCUAAACAUAAACUUUGACCUAUUAAUGUAAAAAAUCAACAUAUAUAGUAAUAUGACCAGGGCUGUCCAGUAUCUUGUUUGUUUUCAUCUACCAUUAAUAUGUCUUUAUAUAGUAAAAUCAGUUGGAAAAGGAUUGUUAUUGAUGUAUACAAUCUGUAGGUUUCGUUUUCAUUAAAAUGUUCUAUGUAU